UUGGAGGGCAAGUCUGGUGCCAGCAGCCGCGGUAAUUCCAGCUCCAAUAGCGUAUAUUAAAGUUGUUGCAGUUAAAAAGCUCGUAGUUGAAUUUCGGGAUCAAUUUGUCGGUCGUGCCUCGGUACGUACUGGCAUUAUUGGUUUCUACCUUCUGAAGAACCUUGAUGUCAUUAAUUUGGUGUCUUGGGGAAUCAGGACUGUUACUUUGAAAAAAUUAGAGUGUUUAAAGCAGGCAUACGCUUGAAUACAUUAGCAUGGAAUAAUGAAAUAGGACGUUUGAUUCUAUUUUGUUGGUUUCUAGGAUCGACGUAAUGAUUAAUAGGGAUAGUUGGGGGCAUUAGUAUUCAAUUGUCAGAGGUGAAAUUCUUGGAUUUAUUGAAGACUAACUACUGCGAAAGCAUUUGCCAAGGAUGUUUUCAUUAAUCAAGAACGAAAGUUAGGGGAUCGAAGACGAUCAGAUACCGUCGUAGUCUUAACCAUAAACUAUGCCGACUAGGGAUCGGAUGAUGUUAAUUUUUUAAUGACUCAUUCGGCGCCUUACGGGAAAC
rnacentral:rRNA from 2 species